UAUAAAUUGCUCAGAAUGAGGUAGGGUCUGGCACAGUGCUCUGCUGAAAUAUUUUCACCCAUGUCUUUUGCGCACUUUUUGUUUCCUGGGCGAGUUUGCUCGCCACCAGGACCCCCAUAUGAACCUUUUUUGUUUUUGCACUCAGCGUCAGUACAAUAAUUUAAUCUAUUAAAACUUUCAACAACGGAUCUCUUGGUUCUGGCAUCGAUGAAGAACGCAGCGAAAUGCGAUACGUAGUGUGAAUUGCAGAAUUCAGUGAAUCAUCGAAUCUUUGAACGCACAUUGCGCCCUUUGGUAUUCCAAAGGGCAUGCCUGUUCGAGCGUCAUUUGUACCCUCAAGCUUUGCUUGGUGUUGGGCGUCUUAUUGUCUCUCCGUCUCGGGGAGACUCGCCUUAAAACAAUUGGCAGCCGGCCUACUGGUUUCGGAGCGCAGCACAAAUUUGCGCUUGCAAUCAGCCAAGGGCGGCAUCCAUGAAGCCUUUUUUCUCUCACAUUUUGACCUCGGAUCAGGUAGGGAUACCCGCUGAACUUAAGCAUAUCAAAAAGGCGGAGG
rnacentral:rRNA from 1 species